rnacentral:rRNA from 1 species
UUAGGUGCCUAUAUCGGUGGUGUCCACCUCUUCCCAUUCCGAACAGAGAAGUUAAGCCCACCAGAGCUGAUGGUACUGCGGUAACACGUGGGAGAGUAGGUCGGUGCCAAAU